UACGGGGGGGGCAAGCGUGGUUCGGAAUUACUGGGCGUAAAGGGCUCGUAGGCGGCCAACUAAGUCAGACGUGAAAUCCCCAGGCUCAACCUGGGAACUGCGUCUGAUACUGGAUGGCUUGAAUCCGGGAGAGGGAUGCAGAAUUCCAGGUGUAGCGGUGAAAUGCGUAGAUAUCUGGAGGAAUACCGGUGGCGAAGGCGGCAUCCUGGACCGGCAUUGACGCUGAGGAGCGAAAGCUAGGGGAGCAAACGGG
rnacentral:rRNA from 1 species